CCUACGGGAGGCAGCAGUGAGGAAUAUUGGUCAAUGGGCGUAAGCCUGAACCAGCCAAGUCGCGUGAGGGAUGAAGGUUCUAUGGAUCGUAAACCUCUUUUAUAAGGGAAUAAAGUGCGGGACGUGUCCCGUUUUGUAUGUACCUUAUGAAUAAGGCUCGGCUAACUCCGUGCCAGAAGCCGCGGUAAUACGGAGGAUCCGAGCGUUAUCCGGAUUUAUUGGGUUUAAAGGGUGCGUAGGCGGGCUUUGCAGUCAGCGGUGAAAGUCUGUGGCUCAACCAUAGAAUUGCCGUUGAAACUGGGGGGCUUGAGUAUGGUAGAGGCAGGCGGAAUGCGUGGUGUAGCGGUGAAAUGCUUAGAUAUCACGCAGAACCCCGAUUGCGAAGGCAGCCUGCCAGGCCAUGACUGACGCUGAGGCACGAAAGCGUGGGGAUCAAACAGGAUUAGAUACCCUUGUAGUC
rnacentral:rRNA from 1 species